GUCCACGCUGUAAACGAUGAGCACUAGGUGUCGCGGGUAUUGACCCCUGCGGUGCCGACGCUAACGCAUUAAGUGCUCCGCCUGGGGAAUACGGCCGCAAGGCUAAAACUCAAAGGAAUUGACGGGGGCCCCGCACAAGCGGUGGAGCAUGUGGUUCAAUUCGACGCAACGCGAAGAACCUUACCUGGGCUAGACAACGGUGGACCGCUCCAGAGAUGGAGUCUUCCCUUCGGGGACCAUCGGUUCAGGUGCUGCAUGGCUGUCGU
rnacentral:rRNA from 1 species